AUGGGAUGGGUGUUCUUUAGCAUAUCGAGAUGGUCCGUGUUCUGUGUUUUCUAUCUUCUUAAAUACGCAUCCGCCUCCUCCUCAAUGAUUCCACUUUCAAAUCCUUCUCAUCCUCAAUGAAUCAUCUUCCAUUUAUUCUUUUCAAGAUCUCCCUCCGCUAAGCACUUUAAUGUUAUCAUCAACGGUGAUAUUUCAAGUGAAGAUCCAAUAGAAUAAAGGGUUAAAAUGUAUCAUCAACGGUUAUAUUUCAAGUGAAGAUCCGAUAGAAUAAAGAGAAAUCGAAGAAAGAGGUGAUCAACUGCGAUUCUGGUGUAUUGGAUCUGUUAAUGGAGGCAUUAAAGAAUGUUUUAUGAACGAGAAGCGAAUUAAAGAUAUAUAUUCUGACUCAAGCUUGAUGGUGCAACUGUUGCGAGGUGUCCCUCAUCGUAACAUGUAGCAGAUAUAGAUGCUAAGGAAUGUCCAGGCGCAUCAUUAAUGCUAUUGAGGAGGUUUGGGUAUGUCGGGCGUGAGCAGAUUUGGACCAUUGGAACUGAACGCUGCAACCACCGGUGAUGAGCAACUGUAAAAUUAGUAGCGAAACAAGAGGAUGCUUGUUUCAAGGGUUGCAAGAAAAUAGAAAUGGUGGAUUCAACAAAGAUUAGGAUUCUAAGGAAAUAACUAUGCAGUUCUUUGAGCAUAGGUUACCAUCUAAAGUUAAAAGUCAAUGAAUGGAGUUAUUUUUAGAUGUCGGUAAUAUUAUUUAAUUCUUUGGGUUAUUAGAAUUUCAUCUUCAUUAUUUUUUAUAUAUUUGAAUAUUAUUGUCUUGCUCUAUGGAUUAUAAACACCAUACAUAACUAAAUCUAAUCCUACUACAAUGGGUUUAGCAUUGGUACCACCAUUGGUACCGCAUAGUAUCAACACCAAUGUUUAUUUUAUAUUUUUAAACACUUAUAAAUUGGUCGGUUCAUUUUAUAAAGGGGACUCCAUUUACUAAGGGAAAUGUUUUGGCAAUUCAAAGGAUAUGCAUCUUCAAAUGGACUCCACUAUCUUUAAAUUGUAUAAACCUGCAUCAGUUAACUUAGGAUCUAUGUUGAAUGAAAUUGGCCUCUAAAGGUAUGAAAGGUUAUUACAUCAUCUUUUUGUUUCAAAUUUGCUUUAAUUAAUCAAGUUUAUAUUCUUUUAUUCCCGGUUGUAUAAUUCAUUCAUGUUUAAGAUUUUUACUAAUUUCCAUUUAUCUUCAUGUUCUUUGUUAGGUAGAUGAGUACAUUUAAUAAAUUUAUUUUUUUUACUUAUAUGC
rnacentral:lncRNA from 1 species